CGGCAGCUGUGGGGCUUCGCGCCCUUGGGCGCUGCCCACCCACGUGGAGCCGCCACUCUGAGUCACCAAGACACUGCGGAAGUGGUGCAGGACAGGGCCUGAGGAUGCCUUGGUCUGGGGGUCACCUGCUCUAGGGGAGCUGGGCGCCCGGUUGUGAGGACAACAAGCAGCGUGAGCAAGAAGCCACGCCUGGAACGCGGGGCCGGCCUUCAGACACGUGUGAACAAGGAAGCCCACGCUGCUUCUGGCAGCGGUCUUGUCCCCACGAGGGGCUCUGCUGAAGGAAGACGUCAAGGGGAGAGCGGGAUCCUUGAUUGGACGCAAGCAUGACCUCUGCACUUCCCAGCAGAAGCCCUCAUUGUGGAAGCUGGCCCUGCAGAGUUUCCUUCCCUGGAGCUAACAGUGUCCAGCCAAGACCGUCAGCAGGCAGACCACUGGGAUGUUGGGCGGAAGGAAGCCAGACCCGCGGCCCCACGCUCUGACCCUGCCGUUGGACGGUAUCCCGUCUCUGUCCGUCUGCACACCACGGGAAACUGUCUUCACCGCCGCUGCCCCGGGAACGGACAGUUUCCAGCCAGAGGGCCAGGAAAACAAGGCCUGCUCACACCUGGGAUUUUAGGUUGUUUCCAGUGUUUGUGGUAUCAGUUGUGCCUCCCGGAGCCCCUCGCGCCCGCGACCGCUCUGCCACCAGGCCAUUUUCUUAGGCCAGGUGCCCAGACAUGGGACUGCAGGGUCGGGUCACAGCCACGUCCACGGCUCCGGGUGCCAAGUGGCUGUCAGCAUCACGGCAGCCCCCUCCCGCCCGGCGCCUCCCCACCCCCAGCGGACAUGUCCCCUGGCAGCGCAGCCCAGUGCCCUCCGCGGGCUGGGCUGCGUUGUCAUCCCUCCCGCCUGUGUCGGUCAGCGGUUUUCCGAGGAGAGAACUGGGGCAGAGGCCCAGCAGAUAAACGUUGUUUAAAAUUUGGCUGAUAUUCUUGUUCUAUGCAGAUAGAAAGUAGGGAACCCAAUCGUAACCCACCACAGAAGGACUCCGUUGGUCCGGGUCUUCAGGUUUUUAUUCUAUGUUUUAAAUUUCUGUCAAAUUAGUUUUUUUUUUAACUUAAAGAAUGUGAG
rnacentral:lncRNA from 1 species